CGGAAGCCUCGUGGGUCCGGACCGUUGAGACGGGCACCGGUCGUGUCCGGUGCCGCUCGUAACCAUCUUGCUCUUUGGAGGAUUUGGCUAUGCGC
rnacentral:sRNA from 1 species